rnacentral:rRNA from 1 species
UUUGAUGGCGACCGGCGCACGGGUGAGUAACACGUAUCCAACCUGCCGAUGACUCGGGGAUAGCCUUUCGAAAGAAAGAUUAAUACCUGAUGGCAUAGUUCUUCCGCAUGGUAGAACUAUUAAAGAAUUUCGGUCAUCGAUGGGGAUGCGUUCCAUUAGGUUGUUGGCGGGGUAACGGCCCACCAAGCCUUCGAUGGAUAGGGGUUCUGAGAGGAAGGUCCCCCACAUUGGAACUGAGACACGGUCCAAACUCCUACGGGAGGCAGCAUG